AGUGAACGCUGGCGGUAGGCCUAACACAUGCAAGUCGAACGGCAGCACAGUAAGAGCUUGCUCUUACGGGUGGCGAGUGGCGGACGGGUGAGGAAUACAUCGGAAUCUACUUUUUCGUGGGGGAUAACGUAGGGAAACUUACGCUAAUACCGCAUACGACCUACGGGUGAAAGCAGGGGAUCUUCGGACCUUGCGCGAUUGAAUGAGCCGAUGUCGGAUUAGCUAGUUGGCGGGGUAAAGGCCCACCAAGGCGACGAUCCGUAGCUGGUCUGAGAGGAUGAUCAGCCACACUGGAACUGAGACACGGUCCAGACUCCUACGGGAGGCAGCAGUGGGGAAUAUUGGACAAUGGGCGCAAGCCUGAUCCAGCCAUACCGCGUGGGUGAAGAAGGCCUUCGGGUUGUAAAGCCCUUUUGUUGGGAAAGAAAAGCAGCAGGUUAAUACCCCGCUGUCCUGACGGUACCCAAAGAAUAAGCACCGGCUAACUGCGU
rnacentral:rRNA from 1 species